rnacentral:lncRNA from 1 species
AAUUGCAGGUCUAGUCAUAUGUUUCGGUGGUUUUUUGUGUGUGGAUUUUGGUAAUAAUUCUUUGUUAGGAGUAUACAUGAUAAACUUUGGAGUACUCUGGUUUAUGAUGAGAAUGAUCUAUCUACCAAGUGAAUUUUUAGUGUUGGUACGGUUUGGUUCUGUCCGGUCUGGUAUUACUUGAGGAGUAAGCUUCGCUGGAGUCGAGAUAAGGUCGUAUAAGAGUUGUUAGAGAAUAUAGAAUAUACGUAGAUGUUGAUAACUAAGGAUCUAUUGUGAAGAUCUCUUUGUCUUGUAUAUAUUCUCAUUGUGAGUACUGAAUACAACAACACGUUCUCAAUACUUUCUUCCUAAGUUUACAUGGUAUCAGAGCAGUGCUAGAUCCAGUAGAAGAAAUUGUUGAGAAAAAAAAAAUAUCAUGUCAAAAGAUCUUGCAGUUGCAAGCGUCAGUGGUGGGAGCAGUAUGUCCUCACCUUACUUUCUGUCACAUUCAGAUAAUCCUGGUGUCUCCAUCUCUCCAGUCUCGUUGACAGGAGAGAACUAUGCCGAGUGGUCGUCGGAGCUGGAGAACGCGCUGCGUGCCAAGCGUAAAACAGGAUUCAUCGAUGGAUCUCUGACUAUGCCGAGUGAGUCGGAGAAGCCGGCAGAAGCUGAGCAGUGGAAGACUGUAAAUUCAAUGAUUGUGGGUUGGAUAAGGGCUUCCAUCUCGCCCACGAUCCGUUCAACCGUGACGUUCACGCCUGAUGCGUACAAGAUGUGGGAUGAUCUGAAGAGGAGAUUCUCCGUCGGGAAUGCGGUUCGAGUACAUCAACUGAGGGCAGAGUUAGCGGCUUGUAGACAAGACGGUUCCAGUGUUAUGUAAUACUUUGGUCGCUUGGUGCUCAAGUGGGAGGAGCUUCUCAGAUACAAACCAAUCCCACAAUGUACUUGCGGGGCCUCAGAGAAGUUCGUUGCAGAGUAUGAAGAGGAGAAAGUGCACACGUUCCUAAUGGGACUAGAUGAUGCUCGUUUUGGUAACGUGUGUACGAACAUCAUUGGCAUGGAGCCCUUACCAGAUCUCAACUCUGUUUAUCAGCGAGUGAUAAGGGAAGAGAGACGUCUGGUGUCGUCCAGAGUUGAACCUAAACAAGACGCAGUCGGGUUCAUGGCGAAAUCAGACGGAGGUGCUGGCGACAGUGCGUCUAUGAGUGGUUUGAUUGCAGCAGUGGCUCGUAGUCGUGGUAGCUCGUUGGUAUGUUCUCAUUGUGGAAGGUCUGGACACGACAAGAAGGAUUGCUGGCAGAUUGUCGGGUUCCCGGAGUGGUGGACAGAACCAAACCGUACCAACACUAACAAUCCCGGAGUGGUUUCGGGUUUAAGCAAUCCUACUCUGACUACUCAUUGUUUACAUAUAUCAAAGGAGACAAGUCGCUGCGAGUGCUCAUCUAUGUCGAUGACUUGAUCUUGACUGGAAAUGAUUCAACGAUGAUGAGCAAGUUCAAGGUGUACCUGAAUGAGUGUUUCAAGAUGAAGGAUUUGGGAAGAGCUAAGUAUUUUCUGGGAAUUGAAAUCGCAAGGGGGCCUGAAGGAAUGUUUUUGUCUCAGAGGAAGUAUGCCUUAGACAUUGUUGCAGAAGCAGGGAUGCUCGGAUGUAAACCAGUUUCGACUCCUAUGGAACAGAACCAUAAGUUACUGUCAGAUAAGGGGGCGUUCUACACGAAUCCUGCACGGUUUAGACGAUUUGUGGGAAAGCUUGUGUACCUUUCCAUUACGAGACCUGAGCUCAGUUAUGCUAUCCAUGUGCUCUCGCAGGUCAUGCACAAACCAAGAGAAGCACAUUGGGACGCAGUGGUACGAGUGAUGAGAUACUUAAAGGGAUGCCCCGGACAAGGAAUUAUGCUGAACGCUGCGAGUGAUCUUCGUCUUCGUAUAUUCUGCGACGCGGACUGGGCUGCUUGCCCCAAUACGAGGCGAUCAUUGUCUUCCUUCAUCACUCUGCUCGGGAACUCUCCAAUCUCCUGGAAAACUAAGAAGCAGGACACAGUCUCUCAUUCAUCUGCUGAAGCAGAAUACAGAUCGAUGGCUGCUGCGUUGCGAGAGCUCAAAUGGUUGAAAAGACUAUUGAACGACAUGGGAGUGCAACAUAAGUGGCCAAUGGAGAUGUUUUGUGACAGCAAAUCAGCCUUGUAUAUUGCAAACAACCCUGUGUUUCAUGAACGUACGAAACACAUAGAGUCUGAUUGCCAUAGUGUUCGAGAUGCAAUACAGGAUCGACUGAUUGUGACCAGGCAUGUGCGCACUACAGAGCAGCUAGCAGACAUCAUGACAAAGGCCUUGGGAGGUCCUGCGUUUAACUACUUGCUAUCCAAGUUAGGUGUACGUAAUCUCCAUUCACCUACUUGAGGGGGAGUGUUAGUGUUGGUACGGUUUGGUUCUGUCCGGUCUGGUAUUACUUGAGGAGUAAGCUUUGCUGGAGUCGAGAUAAGGUCGUAUAAGAGUUGUUAGAGAAUAUAGAAUAUACGUAGAUGUUGAUAACUAAGGAUCUAUUGUGAAGAUCUCUUUGUCUUGUAUAUAUUCUCAUUGUGAGUACUGAAUACAACAACACGUUCUCGAUACUUUCUUCCUAAAUUUACAUGAAUCACAUAACUGAAGAAGAGUGGAAGACAAAGUACGAUGGAGUAUGGUGAGAAAUUUGUGAUGCUUUUUUGGUGUUCAAAUAUAUUUAUAUGUGUG